UCAAGUUAUUAAGGGUGUAGGGCGGAUGCCUUGGCACUAGGAGCCGAUGAAAGACGUGAUAAGCUGCGAUAAGCUUCGGGGAGUGGCACAUACACUUUGAUCCGGAGAUUUCUGAAUGAGGAAACUCACUUGGAGUAAUGUCCAAGUAUCCAUAGGUGAAUACAUAGCCUAUGGAGGGGAACUCAGGGAACUGAAACAUCUAAGUACCUGAAGGAAGAGAAAGAAAUUCGAUUCCGCUAGUAGCGGCGAGCGAACGCGGAAGAGCCCAAACCAAGUCAGUUUACUGAUUUGGGGUUGCGGACAUAUCUUAAGGAAAGGUUAUUGCGAGUAGAAUAGGUCUGGAAAGACCAACCACAGAGGGUAAAAGUCCCGUAUACAAAGCCAAGAAAGUUCUUGAUAUGAUCCAGAGUACCACGAGACACGUGAAACCUUGUGGGAAGCAGGGGGGACCACCCCCCAAGGCUAAAUACUACCUAGUGACCGAUAGCGAAUAGUACCGUGAGGGAAAGGUGAAAAGAACCCCGGGAGGGGAGUGAAAUAGAACCUGAAACCCUACACUUACAAGCUGUGGGAGCGCAUUAUUCGCGUGACCGCGUACUUUUUGUAGAACGGGCCAACGAGUUACGUUAUGUGGCAAGGUUAAGCACUUAAGGUGUGGAGCCGAAGCGAAAGCGAGUCUUAACUGGGCGCCAUAGUCACAUAACGUAGACCCGAAACCGGGCGACCUACCCAUGAGCAGGAUGAAGCGAAAGUAAAAUUUCGUGGAGGUCCGAACCCACGUACGUUGAAAAGUGCGGGGAUGACUUGUGGGUAGCGGUGAAAUUCCAAUCGAGCUCGGAGAUAGCUGGUUCUCCCCGAAAUAGCUUUAGGGCUAGCCUUGAAAUUUAGAGAUGUGGAGGUAGAGCACUGAAUGUCCUAGGGGGUAUUGCACUUACCGAAGACUAUCAAACUCCGAAUGCCAUUAUCUUUUGUUCAGGAGUCAGACUAUGGGUGAUAAGGUUCAUAGUCGAAAGGGAAAGAGCCCAGACCGUCAGCUAAGGUCCCUAAAUGUAUGUUAAGUGGUAAAGGAUGUGGGAUUGCACAGACAACCAGGAUGUUGGCUUAGAAGCAGCCACUCAUUUAAAGAGUGCGUAAUAGCUCACUGGUCGAGUGAUCCUGCGCCGAAGAUUUCCGGGGCUAAAACAUACUACCGAAGCUACGGCAUCAUAUGAUGAUGGGUAGGGGAGCUUCCCAUGCAGGCUGAAGCGAUACCGUAAGGAGUCGUGGACAGUAUGGGAGAGAGAAUGUUGGCAUGAGUAGCGAGAUGAGGGUGAGAAUCCCUCAGGCCGUAAACCCAAGGUUUCCAGGGGAAGGUUCGUCCUCCCUGGGUUAGUCGGGACCUAAGCUCAGGCCGAAAGGCGUAGGCGAUGGACAACAGGUUGAGAUUCCUGUACUACCGAUAAUCGUUUGAGAGAAGGGAUGACACAGUAGGAUAAGCUGAGCACACUGUUGGUUAUGUGUGUCUAAGCGUUGAGGCAGACUAGAUAGGCAAAUCCGUUUAGUUAAUGCUGGGGCGCGAUGGGGAGCGAAACUAAGUAGCGAAGCAGCUGAUUUCACACUGUCGAGAAAAGUCUCUAUCGAGAUUAAAGGUACCCGUACCGCAAACCGACACAGGUGGGUGAGGAGAGUAUCCUAAGGCCAGCGAGAGAACUGUUGUUAAGGAACUCGGCAAAAUGACCCCGUAACUUAGGGAUAAGGGGUGCCCCAGCAAUGGGGCCGCAGAGAAUUGGCCCAAGCGACUGUUUACCAAAAACAUAGGUUUCUGCUAAGUCGCAAGACGAUGUAUAGGAGCUGACGCCUGCCCGGUGCUGGAAGGUUAAGGGGAUCUGUUAGAGCAAUCGAAGCAGUGAUCUUAAGCCCCAGUAAACGGCGGCCGUAACUAUAACGGUCCUAAGGUAGCGAAAUUCCUUGUCGGGUAAGUUCCGACCCGCACGAAAGGCGUAACGAUUUGGGCACUGUCUCAACAACAGACUCGGUGAAAUUGUAAUCCCGGUGAAGAUGCCGGGUACCUGCGACAGGACGGAAAGACCCCAUGGAGCUUUACUGUAGCUUGACAUUGGGUUUCGAUACUACAUGUACAGGAUAGGUGGGAGACUAUGAAAUCAGGGCGUCAGUUUUGAUGGAGUCACCCUUGGGAUACCACCCUUGUAGUAUUGGGACUCUAACCAUAGGCCAUGAAUCUGGUCUUGGGACACUGUCUGGUGGGCAGUUUGACUGGGGCGGUCGCCUCCCAAAAGGUAACGGAGGCGCUCAAA
rnacentral:rRNA from 1 species